GGAGGCGUGGUGUAGUGGCCUAACAUGUCGGCCUGUCAAGCCGAAGAUCGCGGGUUCGAAUCCCGUCGCUUCCGCCU
rnacentral:tRNA from 1 species